rnacentral:rRNA from 1 species
GAACGGAAACUGAAGCUUCCGCAGAUUGUUUCUAGUGGCGGACGGGUGAGUAACGCGUGGGUACCUGCCUUGUACAGGGGGAUAACAGUCAGAAAUGACUGCUAAUACCGCAUAAGACCGCAUGGUAAAAACUCCGGUGGUAUAAGAUGGACCCGCGUUGGAUUAGCUAGUUGGUGAGGUAACGGCCCACCAAGGCGACGAUCCAUAGCCGACCUGAGAGGGUGACCGGCCACAUUGGGACUGAGACACGGCCCAAACUCCUACGGGAGGCAGCAGUGGGGAAUAUUGCACAAUGGGCGAAAGCCUGAUGCAGCGACGCCGCGUGAGCGAAGAGGUAUUUCGGUAUGUAAAGCUCUAUCAGCAGGGAAGAUAAUGACGGUACCUGACUAAGAAGCACCGGCUAAAUACGUGCCAGCAGCCGCGGUAGUACGUAUGGUGCAAGUGUUAUCCGGAUUUACUGGGUGUAAAGGGAGCGCAGGCGGUGCGGCAAGUCUGAUGUGAAAGCCCGGGGCUCAACCCCGGUACUGCAUUGGAAACUGUCGUACUAGAGUGUCGGAGGGGUAAGCGGAAUUCCUAGUGUAGCGGUGAAAUGCGUAGAUAUUAGGAGGAACACCAGUGGCGAAGGCGGCUUACUGGACGAUAA